UACGUAGGGUCCAAGCGUUGUCCGGAUUUACUGGGUGUAAAGGGUGCGCAGGCGGACUUGUUAGUCAGAGGUGAAAUCUCACUGCUCAACAGUGAAACUGCCUUUGAUACUGCAGGUCUUGAAUCCAGAAGAGAGUUGUGGAAUUCCGAGUGUAGCAGUGAAAUGUGUAGAUAUUCGGAAGAACACCAGCGGCGAAGGCAGCAACUUGGUCUGGUAUUGACGCUCAGGCACGAAAGCAUGGGGAUCAA
rnacentral:rRNA from 1 species